rnacentral:misc_RNA from 1 species
AACGCACCUUGCGCUCUUUGGUAUUCCGAAGAGCAUGCCUGUUUGAGUGUCAUUAAAUUCUCAAACCUCACCAGUUUUCUGAGGAGGCUUGGAUGUGGGGGUUUGUGCAGGCUGCCGCAGCGCGGUCUGCUCCCCUAAAAUGCAUUAGCGAGUUCAUACUGAGCUCCGUCUAUUGGUGUGAUAAUUAUCUACGCCGUGGAUUGGGCUUAGACUUGCUUCUAACCGUCCGCAAGGACAACUACUUGACAAUUUGACCUCAAAUCAGGUAGGACUACCCGCUGAACUUAA